CUACGGGACGCACCAGUGAGGAAUAUUGCACAAUGGGGGGAACCCUGAUGCAGCAACGCCGCGUGGAGGAUGACGCACUUCGGUGUGUAAACUCCUUUUAUAUGUCAAGAAAAUGACGGUAGCAUAUGAAUAAGCACCGGCUAACUCCGUGCCAGCAGCCGCGGUAAUACGGAGGGUGCAAGCGUUACUCGGAAUCACUGGGCGUAAAGGACGCGUAGGCGGGUUGGAAAGUCAGGUGUGAAAUCCUACAGCUUAACUGUAGAACUGCACUUGAAACUUCUAAUCUAGAGUAUGGGAGGGGGAGAUGGAAUUAGUGGUGUAGGGGUAACAUCCGUAGAUAUCACUAGGAAUACCUAAAGCGAAGGCGAUCUCCUGGAACAUUACUGACGCUAAGGCGUGAAAGCGUGGGGAGCAAACAGGAUUAGAUACCCGAGUAGUC
rnacentral:rRNA from 1 species